GCCUCUGCGCCGCGGGGCCCGAGCCGCCGCGGCGAGUCGUCACCCGCAGGUUUUUAUGAACUCUUAAGAGCGUAAGUGUGGGCUAUUCCGGGACAGGAAUCACAUCUUAAGGGCUGAUUGUCCACCAGGAAUUUGACUGACAGACCCCGACCACGGAGAUUGUUUGCUCUGCACCACAGCCUUUCUGCUUCGUGCUAAGGGAUAUGAGUGGGAUGGUAACAGAUGAUUCAAAGGGGCAGAUGUGACCCAAAAUCCAUGCAAAGCUUCUGCUGAAGAAGGAAUCACCUGAGGUGAAGGGCACUUUCAAGGCUCCUGAGAUCGAAAGGGGUGCAGUGAAGCUCUGCUGAUUAGCCUCCUGCUAAUUCCUCUGGAAAGGCUGUUUUUUACUAUGGAGAUUCCAAGUCUGGUUUAUUUUUUCACCAGUUUUGAGACACACAGACUCUGUGGGAUCAAGAUGUUGCUGGUUUAAGCCACAGCUGUAAUACAUCACAGCGUUCUGUCAGCACACAACGACCUGCACUGCAGUGCCAGCCAUCUCUAAGGACUGUCACAAGGAAGCUGCCAUCCUUCAGAUUCUAUCCACCACAAUUCUGGAAUUCUAGUCAGAGUUCUUUUUACCUGCCCUUUAAUAUGAUGAAUCUGCUCAUUUAAAGAUUGUUAAAAAAUGGUAUUCCCUACAGUUUUUCAUUCUUAGUGUUUCUGUUAGUGUUUUCAAAUGAUGGCUUGUUCUCACACACUUUCCUGUGCUGGUUUAGGUCAUUUCUUCCAAAAGAGCAGUAAACUACUGACACAGUGUAUAAAGCUUUGAGGAUGGCUGUUUUUCUCUUGACCUAGUAACUGGAAGUUGUGACAGAUGUUAACUGUUUUUUUCAUUGUACUCCCUGCAGGGGACACAUACUACUGUUCUCUCAGCAGCUUUUUGAAGCAAUUUUGACAUGCCCAUUCCCUAAGUGUGUAUCACUGAACACUGUGAAUCUUAAUAAAAGAGACUCUUAAAAGCCAGCCCAAA